UACGUAGGAGGCAAGCGUUGUCCGGAAUUACUGGGUGUAAAGCGCGUGUAGGUGGUGGGCCAAGUCUGUGGUGAAAUCGCCCGGCUCAACUGGGCGAGGUCCGUGGAAACUGGUCGACUGGAGGACGGUAGAGGCGAGUGGAAUUCCCGGUGUAGUGGUGAAAUGCGUAGAGAUCGGGAGGAACACCAGUGGCGAAGGCGGCUCGCUGGGCCGUACCUGACACUGAGGCGCGAUAGCAUGGGAGCAACAGG
rnacentral:rRNA from 1 species